CUUAUCUUGCCUCCGUUUUAAAAUUACUGCAAUAUUCGCACUUCUAAAAUCGAACUUUACAGACUUUGACUACAAUCUGAGAAUGGUAGAUAGUUUGAGAAUGUCAAAUUAUUGUAUACAGUGCAAAUGAGCGUGUUGUAUUAAUUUUGUGGCCCAGAUUAGCUUUUCUUCUGUUUUGAUGGCUAAUUCCAUAAUCCAUUACCAUACUAGGGUUGUCGGCCCAUAUAGUCGGACUUCUGCCCUAACUACUUUAUUAAGCCGGUUGAUGAACUGAUCUUUUGUUAUCUCUUCUAGAAUCACUUUUAAGGGAGCUAAGAUUUCAAUGAAUUUUCUUUGUUGGUGAGAGAGCUAGUGCUUAUGAAGAGUUCUGGCACUACUCAGCCGAAAUUGGCGGAGUAAUAACCCCUUGAGCUCCUCCCAUUCUCCCACUGAAAUCAAAAUACGGCAUCAUCUUCCAACGCCACGUCCACCACCUCGACCUUCUCUAGCCACUUAAACUUGAAGUACCUUUAGGCUUUAUUAGUAUCCAGCUACCAUCAAACAUGGAUAAAUUUAACUUCUUAAACCUCUGGUUAGCCAAUGUUGCAUUUUUGGAGUUAUGGGGCCCUUCUCCUAUUGACCGGAAAAGGAAAUCUUUCAACUCUUCUUCUUUCCUAGGUGAUCCCUUCUGGGUUGUUGGACAAGUCCCCUUGUUGUUCAGCGCGAAGAUUGUUACUUUUAUCUCCUCCCGAACUUUUUCAUACUCUUCCCACAUCUGGUUGAUAAGGGCAUCUUGGUUUUCUAUGGAAUAAACUAUUCUUCCAAAGGUUCUCGAUGAUCUUCGUUGUGGUUAAAUGUAACCCCGCAAGAUCUCGACUGAGUUGUCAGAGCUUUUGGAGCUAUCAGGGUUCCAUGCCAGUGAUGAUUUUGGGGGAGAUUAUCCUUGCUCUGAUACUAAGUUGUUGGGAAUUAGUGAACAAGAAAAUUAUAAGAGGGAAAGCUAGGGAUAUCUUGUAUGAAAUUGGAUCAAAGAUCAAGAACCGAAUACAACUUGUUGCCUCUCGAGAGGUGAGUUGUCGCCAAAAGAGAAUGCGAAUUAUCAAAUAUCUCAUUACCUCUAAUAUUCCCUCAUGCCCUAUUUAUAGUGCUCUAGCUUAGUGCUCACAUUCUCUUUCUAUUACAUAACCCUCUUUUACCCACUAAAUCAAUGCAAGGAACAAAAGGAAUGAUCGGUACAAAAUAGAAACAGAAUAAUGGAAUACUUUGUGUCCUAUUGCCCUAGUUGUCAUGCUGAGGUGUCUAGUUGAGGUGAGAUACCCUUCCUAGCGCUUCUUGUGUAUGUGAUGAGGUUAUGGUCGACUUGAUCCCUUGCCGAUAGGAGCGGGCGAAAUGUGAAUUCUUAAGUCUCCACAUGCUCACUUUUAUCAUCCAAAAAUAUCCUAUUUGGUUAAGAAAAUACCUAUUUUGCUGCGAAUUCUUAAGUCUAGACAUACUCACUUUUUAUCAUCUCAGAGGCUCUUAUUUGGGUAAGGAAAUACCUAUUUUGCCGCCAUACAUGGCCAAAUUUUAAUGCAAAUGCUUUGUGCAUGGAAGAUUUGUCAAUCAUGGGAGAAUCAUGUGUCAUGGACAUGGCAGAUGUCCUAAGUUAUUAUUGUAUAUGGGUUAAUGCUUGCCGAUCAGACAUCAUAUGGUAAUAAUCUCUAUUUGGAUGUGAGAUCCAUCUGCUUCAAUCACUCACAACAAGGAAGUAGAAUACAGAAAUAAGAGGAAAGGGUUUAGGAUGGCAAAAGGAGGUUGAUAGAUUGGAGAUAACUUCUAAGCAUUCGAAAGACGCAGUCUAUCCCGGUACAAGCUACUAAUAACAAACAUAUGUGAUGAGGUGAAAUGGGCUCAUUACAUUACCUUGCCCCCAAAGACUCACCUUGUCCUCAAGGUGGAAGGAUGAAAAACGAGCAUGAAUGGAUGUCAUGUUCUCCAGAUGCAAUUGUGUCCAUUUCAGCAAGACUUAAGUUCUUUCGGCACCCCCUCUUUCACUUGUCUGACAUCUAGCAAUGCUUCUGGUUGAAUCACUAAUUCCAGAAUUCAACUCUUUCGGAAUGGUAGGGGAAAUUAACUCAUCGCCUACUGCAUGCUUCAGUUGAGACACGUGAAAUGCAGGGUGAAUUUUGCUUGAAGGAGGCAGCUCCAAAGUGUAUGCCGAUGUACCUACCUUGUUGAUAAUGGGAAAUGGACCAUAGAAACGUGUCACUAGCUUCUCAAAAGGCCUCCUAGAAAAAGAUUUUCGCUGAUAAGGGCGUAAUUUCAGAUACACCAAGU